CUAAGGCGAGGCUGAAAAGCGUAGUCGAUGGACAACAGGUUAAUAUUCCUGUACUGCCUUGUCGGAGUGAUGGAGGGACGCAGAGAGUCAGGUGAGCCGGCUGCUGAAUAUGCCGGUCGAAGCCCGUGGGACGUGCUGUUGGCAAAUCCGCAGCACACUAGUCUGAGAGGCGUAAGGUAGCCGAACGCAAGUUUGGCGAAUUCACUGCGACUGCACUGACGAGAAAAGCUUCUAAACGAUGAUGACAGGGUAUCCGUACCGUAAACCGACACAGGUGGGUGAGGCGAGAAGCCUAAGGUGCGCGAGAGAAACCAACGUUAAGGAACUCGGCAAAUUAGCCCCGUAACUUCGGAAUAAGGGGUGCCGCCUCUGGUGAAGGGAUUUACUCCCCGAGCUUAGGGCGGUUGCAAUAAAGAGGCCGGUGCGACUGUUUAACAAAAACACAGCUCUAUGCCAACUCGUAAGAGGAUGUAUAUGGAGUGACACGUGACCAAUGCCAAAAGGUCAAUGGGAGAGGUUAGCGCAAGCGAAGCUUCGAUCUGAAGCCCUGGUGAAUGUCGGCCGUAACUAUAACGGUCCUAAGGUAGCGAAAUUCCUUGUCGGGUAAGUUCCGACCUGCACGAAUCGUGUAACGAUGCCGGCACUGUCUCAACGUGGAUCUCGGCGAAGUUGUAAUUCCGGUGAAAAUGCCGGAUACCUGCGGAAGGACGGAAAGACCCCAUGAACCUUUACUGUAAUCUGAUAUUGGUAUUUGAUUGUUCUUGUGUAGCAUAGGUGGGAGGCUGUGAAGCCGCUACGCCAGUACCGGUGGAGCCACAGGUGAAAUACCACCCUGGUGCAAUUAGAUAUCUAACGGAGUCCCGUGAAUCCGGGCUCCGGACCGUGUCAGAGGGUCAGUUUGACUGGGGCGGUUUCCUCCUAAAUUGUAACGGAGGAGCCCGAAGGUACACUCAGCACGGUUGGCAAUCGUGUGAAGAGCGUAAGGGUAGAAGUGUGCUUUACUGUAAGACAGACAUGUCGAGCAGUUGCGAAAGCAGGGCCUAGUGAUCCAGCGAUGGAAUGUGGAAUCGUCGUUGCUCAACGGAUAAAAGGUACUCUGGGGAUAACAGGCUGAUAGCGCCCAAGCGUCCAUAGCGACG
rnacentral:rRNA from 1 species